CAGGGCUCCAGAAUCCCUCCUGCAGUGCCAAGCCUGGCCCUCAUGCUGACUGCACCAGCAGCAGAAAGCAGGAAGCAAGGGGAUGAUGCGGGACUGGGGGAAGUAUUUGGCGGGUAGGGAGGAAGGGGUCAGCUGGCAGCAAAGCCAUGGUCCUUGGAAGUUGGAGCCUUUCCUUACUCCACAUUGCUCACAGCAGAAUCUUACUCCCCACCCCAUCCCCACCCCCACUGGACCUAGCCCUCAGGAAGCCACAAGCCUGGAGGACUCUCCUGUUAGAUUGGAUGCUUGCAGACUGAGCACUUGCUGACUCCUGGCUGUGACACAAAGCCUCCUGUUGCUCCCCCUGGGUCCCUCACCUGCCAGGAUUUACUCAUGUUUCUAAGAAGAGGCUCAGAAGCCAGGGGACCUGGGGCAGGAGGCUCCCUGUGAACACAGAGCGUCCUAUUCACGGAUGAGGGCUCAGUGUACUUGCCCUAAGGGAGUUGGUUGGGGCACUGGGACACACAGGCAGUUCGUGGCAGAGCAGGGACUGGAGGCGGGUCUCUGAUCUGAGUCACCAUCCAUGGCUACUGCCAUCUCCUUCCCUGCCCACCAGUGCCCAUCAGUGUCAGGGAGGGCUCCCUGGUACUCCCUGGUUCAGGAGAGGCAUCUUGUGACUCCUCAUGCAGCCAAGGCCUGGGACCUGGGGCCAGGGAAGAGCCUGAGCCUCUGUCACGGGAGAGGGAGUAUUGGCCUUACCCUAAGACUUCUCUGCCAGAAACUCCACCCCUUAUCCCCAGCUCAACCCCCAGGCAGAGGGCCUUUUCUCCUCCUGCACCUGAAUCUCCAGUUCCAGGAAAUAAGAAGCUGGCACCAAAGGAAGACCUCCCCUUUUUCAAGGCCCUGUUUAUCUCUAAAGUGGACAUGAUUGAUGCCACAGGAAUGCAUUCAGCUGCAAGUAACAGAAAACAUGACCAACAAUGUGGGAAAGAUUAUAGAUGUUUACUUUGCUCAUGACAGAGCUUCUUCUCUGAGAAAACACCAAAUGGCAGAUGACACAGUGCAGCGGGAGGCCCAGAGGCCCUGGGAUGAGGAACCGUGGCAGCUUCUGCAGAGGCCUCGGCACUGGCAUCUGGGGCUGGGGUCAUGGCCAGGGUUGGGGCCAGGGGCAUGAGAGCUCCAAGGCUAUGGAGCUCUCAGAGGCAAGGCUGAGGAUGAGGAGUGGAUGCCUGUCACCAAGCGGGGCCAUCUGGUCAAGGACGUGAAGAUCAAGUCCCUGGAGGAGAUCUGUCUCUUCACCCUGACCCUCAAGGAGUCAUAUCACUGACUUUUUCCUGGGGGCUUCUCUCAAGGAUGAGGUUUUGAAGACCAUGCUGGUGCAGAGGCCGACCUGCGCUGGCAGGUUCAAGCCAUUUAUUGCCACUGGGACUACAACGGCCACCUCGUUCUGGGUGUUAAGUGCUUCAAGGAGGUAGCCACUGCCAUCCAAGGGGCCAUCAUCCUGGCCAAGCUCUCCAUGGUCCCUGGGCAUGGAGGCUACAGGCCAUCAUGGCUUUGUGCUAGUGCACCUUAACCCUGCACCCAAGGGUGCUGGCAUCAUCUCAGCCAUGUUGCCCAGGAAGAUGCUGAUGAUGGCUGGUAUCGAUGACUGCUACACCUCAGCCAGGGGCUGCACUGCCACUCUGGGCAACUCUGCCAAGGCCAGCUUUGAUGUCAUCUCCAAGACCUACAGCCACCUGACCUGACUUCUAGAAGAAUACCGUAUUCACCAAGUCUCCCUACCAGGAAUUCACUCGCCAUCUUGUCAAGAGCCACACCAGAGUCUCUGUGCGGAGGACCCAGGUGCCAGCUGUGGCUACAACAUAGUGUUUUUAUACAAGAAAAAGUUAAUUACGCCUGUUAAAAAAAAAAAAAAAAAA
rnacentral:lncRNA from 1 species